UAGCGUGGCGGAGGCUACACAUGCAUGUCGAGCGCGAAACACUUCGGUGUGAGUAAAGCGGCGGACGGGUAAGUAACGCGUAGGAAUCUACCUAGUAGUGGGGGACAACUCGGGGAAACUCGAGCUAAUACCGCAUACGCCCUACGGGGGAAAGCGGGGGACCUUCGGGCCUCGUGCUAUUAGAUGAGCCUGCGUUGGAUUAGCUAGUUGGUGGGGUAAAGGCCUACCAAUGCGACGAUCCAUAGCUGGUCUGAGAGGAUGAUCAGCCACACCGGGACUGAGACACGGGCCGGACUCCUACGGGAGGCAGCAGUGGGGAAUAUUUGCGCCAUGGGCGAAAGGCUGACGCAGGCAUGCCGCGUGUGUGAAAGAAGGCCUUCGGGUUGGUAAGCACUUUCCAUUGGGAGGAAAGGUUCACGUGGUUAAUAACCGUGAGCUUGUGACCGUUACCUUUUACAAAAGCACGGCUAGGUCAUGACAGGCGCCGGGCGCAUACCGAGGGUGCGAGCGUUUAUGUGAAUAACUGGGGCGUAAGGCGCGUCGUGGCUGUGACAGCACGGAGUGUAAGUCCCCGGCUGACCUGUGAGAUGUAUCGAUAAAG
rnacentral:rRNA from 1 species